rnacentral:tRNA from 1 species
UGUUCUUUGGCAUAUGUAGGUUAAAGCGCCGGACUAGCGAUACGGAGUCGUGGGUUUGAAUCCCACCAAAACAA